rnacentral:lncRNA from 1 species
CCUCAGGUGAUCUGACUGCCUUGGCUUCCCAAAGUGCUGGCAUUACAGACAUUAGCUACUGUGCCUGGCCUCAAGUCCUUUCUCAUUUUAAAACUGCGUUAUUUUAUUUUAUUUUUCUGAGAUGGAAUCUCACUCUGUCGCCCAGGUUGGAGUGCAGUGGUGCAAUCUCGGCUCACUGCAACCUCCACCUCCUGAGUUCAAGCGACUCUCCUGCCUCGGCCUCCCUAGUAACUGGGAUUACAGGCACCCACCAUCACGCCUGGCUAAUUUUUGUAUUUUUAGUAGAGACAGGGUUUCGCCAUGUUGGCCAGGCUGGUCUUGAACUCCUGAACUCAGGUGAUCUGCCUGCCUCGGCCUCCCAAAAUGCUAGGAUUACAGGCGUGAGCCACCACACCCGGUGGGUUGUCUUUUUAUUGUUGAGUUGUAAGCAUUCUUUUUAAUAUUCUGGAUACUAGUUUCUUAUCAGGUACAAUCUUUGUGAAUAUAUUCUCCCAUUCCAUGGAUUGUCUUCUCACUUUCUGGAUACUAUACAGUACAAGUUUUAAAUUUUGAUGAAGUUCACUUGAUUUCUGUUUUUUAUGUUAUUGCUUAUGCUUUUGGUGUCAUACCUAAAAAACCAUUGUCUAAAUCAAUUGCCUAUGAGGUGUUACCCCUAUGUUUUCUUCUAAAGUUUUAUGAUUUUAGCUCUUUGACCCAUUUUGAGUUAUUUUUGUGUAUGCAGUGCGAGAUAAGCAUCCAGCCUCAUUCUUUUGCACAUAAAUGUUCACUUGUCUUAGCAUUACUUAUUGAAAAUACUAUUUUUUCCCUAUAGAAUUAUUUUAUACUUAUCACAAAUCAACUAACUAUAAGGGUUUAUUUCUGGACUCAAUUCUGUUGCUCUAUCUUAUGGUAGUACCACACUGUCUUGAUUAUUGUAACUUCGUAGUAAGUUUUGGAAUCCAGAAAUGUAGUCCUCUAACUUUGUUGUUGUUGUUGUUCUUCUUUUUUCUUUUGUAGAGAUGAGGCCUUGCUAUGUUGCCCAGGCUGGUCUCAAACUCCUGGCCUCAAACAAUCCUCCCACCUCCACCUCCCAAAGUGCUGAGGGGUGAGCCACUGCAACUGGCCUGUUCUUUUUCAAAAUUGUUAGGGCUGUAUUGGGUUUACCUUUCCCUAAAUUUUCAUAUAACUGUUAGGAUUCACUUGCAAAUUUAUGUAAAAAGGGCCUCUGGAAUUUUGAUAGUGAUUACACUGAAUGAGAGGAGUUUGGCAGGACUGGUUUCCCAAGACCACAAGACCCUGUAAGACCCUGCUGAUAAGACAGGAUGUGGUAGAAAGGCCAACCCAAACCAGCCAAAACCAUGAUGGUGACAGAAGAGACCUCUGGUUACCUUUGCUGCCCAUUCUAUGGUAAUUAUAAUACAUUAGCACGCUAAAAGAAACUUCUACAGCACCAUGAUAGUUUACAACUGCCAUAGCAACUUUCAGAAGUUACCCUGUAUGGUCUAAAAGGUCCAGACCUCCCCACUUCUUUCCUGGAAAACUCAUGAAUAAGCCACCUCUUGUUUAGCGUAUAGUCAAGAAGCAACCAUAAAUAUAGCCAGUCAGCAGCCCAUCAGGGCUACUCUUCCUAUGGGGUAGCCAUUCUUUUAUUCCUUUACUUUCUUAAUGAACUUGCUUUCACUUUAUUCUGUCAGCAUGCUCUUGAAUUCUUUCCUGAACCCACUUGACCUCUUGGGCUGAGCCUUAACCUUGGGGUACUUUUGCCUAUAACAAACAUACAAAGAUAAGUUUGGCUGGGCGCAGUGGCUCAUGCCUGUAAUCCCAGGACUUUGGGAGGCUGAGGAUGGUGGAUCGCUUGAGCCAAGGAAUUUGAGGCCACCUUGGGCAACACGGCAAAACCCUGUCUCUACUAAAAAUACAAAAAUUAGCUGGGUAUGGUAGCAUGCGCCUGUAGUACCAGCUACUCGGAAGGCUGAGGUGGGAGGAUCACUUGAGCCCGGGAGGUGGAGGUUUCAGUGAGCUGAGAUUGUGCCACUGUACUCCAGCCUGGGGAACAGAGUGAGACCCUGUCUCAAAAUAAAAAUAAAUUUGAGGUGUAUUGCCAUCUUAACGGAAGUUGUUACUGGUGGACGGUAUCCAAGUUACUGGUGGUAAAUCUGCAGCAACCUCAAUUCUUUCCUCCUCAGAAGAAAGAAUUUGACUGAGGGGCAUAAGGCAGAAGGAGGGACCGAGGCAAGUUUCAGAGCAACAGUGAAAGUUUAUUACGCUUUAGGCUGGGCAUGAGCCACCACACCCAGCCUACAUUACUCAAUUUAACCACGUCCACCUAGUUCCCUAGACAAACUAUUGCUAAUUUAACUUUUAGGAACUACUGCCAUCUUGCGGAACUUUGAGGUUUUGCCACCCCAGAAUUUCCUAGCUGCUCUGUUCUUCUAUUAUGUGGCAUAGCAAACACAAAAUGGGUCACUUUUUUUCUUUGGAGAUGGGAUCUUUCUAUGUUGCCCAGGCUGGUCUCCAACUCCUAGGCUCAAGUGAUCUUCCUACCUCAGCCUCCUCAAUAGCUGGUACUAUAGGAGACAGCACCACACUGCCCGGGCCUGGUUGCAUUUUACUUGUCUAGCUAUCGUCUCUUUCCUGUUGACUAUCUGGAAAUCUCUGAUGGGGUCUUUAACAGAAAAAGUCUACUCCUUCAGACCUUAGUUUCAUGCCAUAUACCACAUAUGACAGGUCUGGGAAGGUCUGGAAUGUGUGGAUAAAGGCGAUGGCAGUGGCUGCUGCCAUCAUGCUGGCUGCAGCAGGGAGGCAUGGCUCUGGGUGCACACUCCACGGAGCUGGUGGGUGCCCCCCACCUUCUGAGUUGGAGCGGGAGCUCCUCGGGUGCUGCUGCAGCUGCCCAAACCCAGCCACCCAGACUGCGGCUGUGGAUCUGAGCCCCCCUGUGCUCUUGGAGGAGGGCUGGGAGCAGGCAGGAUCUGCCUUCCUGGGUGCAGAGACCAGCUUGGUCACGGACACCCUAACCCAGUGGUGCUAGAGGAAUUAGACACACAUACAGAAAUAUAGAGUGUGGAGUGGGAAAUCAGGGGGCUGACAGCCUUUAGAGCUGACAGCUCCGAACAGAGAGUUACCCACAUAUUUAUUGACAUCAAGCCAGUGAUAAGCAUUGUUUCUAUAGAUUAUAGAUUAAUUAAAAGUAUCCCUUAUGGGAAACAAAGGGAUGGGCCGAAACAAAGGGAUGGGUUCUGGCUAGUUAUCUGCAGCAGGAACAUAUCCUUAAGGCACAUAUCACUCAUGCUAUUGUUUGUGGUUUAGGAAUGCCUUUUUGCAGUUUUCCGCCCUGGGUGGGCCAGGUGUUCCUUGCCCUCAUUCCGGUAAAACAACAGCCUUCAGCGUGG